rnacentral:rRNA from 1 species
AAGAGUUUGAUCAUGGYUCAGAACGAACGCYGGCGGCGUGCCUAACACAUGCAAGUCGAACGGAUUUGAGGGGCUUGCUCCUCAAGUUAGUGGCGCACGGGYGAGUAACGYGUAGAUAAUCUGCCUGAUGAUCCGGGAUAACACUUYGAAAGGGGUGCUAAUACCGGAUAAGCCCACGGGGUCUUYGGAUUCUGCGGGAAAAGGGGGGGACCUUCGGGCCUUCUGUCAUCAGAUGAGUCUGCGUACCAUUAGCUAGUUGGUAGGGUAAUGGCCUACCAAGGCUACGAUGGUUAGCUGGUUUGAGAGAAUGAUCAGCCACACUGGAACUGAGACACGGUCCAGACUCCUACGGGAGGCAGCAGUGGGGAAUUUUGCGCAAUGGGCGAAAGCCUGACGCAGCAACGCCGCGUGAGUGAUGAAGGCUUUCGGGUCGUGAAGCUCUGUCGAGGGGAAAGAAGUGUAUUGUGGCUAAUAUCCGCGAUACUUGACGGUACCCCUAAAGGAAGCACCGGCUAACUCCGUGCCAG